rnacentral:lncRNA from 1 species
GAAGGGGGAGUUGCCUUUCAAUUUCGGACUCACCAGGAUUCAUCUCUCAUCACAUUUUUCUUCUCAAAUUUUUAAAUCGAAAAGAUAAAAGCCAAAAGAACUUUCAUCCCCAGAACUUUUUCUUGGGGGAAAGGAAUGCAACUCGGGGUGGUUGUCCUUCACUUCCCUACCCGAAUCUUCUCCUAAUGCCGAAAUGUGUUUACAGGUAGCCUCAGUUUACCAACUAUGUAUCUUUUGGGGUGUUUACGUCUCACAAAGCCUUCAACUCAUAAACCGCGAUCCUUGAAAACCAUCCUCCAAAGAAGUGCUUAGGAGGCGUCUGAGGCCCCGGGACCAACUCCCGCUGGAAAAAGCCUGCAGGGACCCGGGGAUCACGGGAUCCUUUCCCGUCGGUUCCGGGCCGGGAGGGCCAGGGAGAGCCGCGCGUCCGCCUUUCGUCCCGCCAGGAACUCCCCAUAGGACACGACACCGCAGGAACGCGCGUCCUGGGAGCCCCUGGGAUCCUGGCGGUCGUCUCUACGGACCCUACACCAUGAAAUGAUAGAGGGGAGGCUCCUUCGGUUCCGCAAGUCGACGAAAAUAGCUCGUGGAGAAGGCGCCUCCUGCAACUGCAGUUCGCAAGCUCUCGGGGCGCCCCGCCAGCUGGGGGCCAGAUUGGGUGACACUCCCCUCGACGCAGCCUCCGGAGCGGCGCGCACUCUCCAGAGGCCAGCAAGACUGCGCUCUCUACCGCAGAACCAGCUCCAGCUAGGUGUUCUCUCCCCAUCUCGCCGUCGCUCUGCCCCCUCACUCUCUCCGGACCUCAGAGCCGGCUCUUUCCUUCCUCCUCCCGCCCUUUCCUUCCGGGGAUCGCAACCUCCAGCCCGUGGGCAACGCGUUCAGCCCAAGACCCCACAGUUUUUCCCAACGACCCCCUACCAAGGGCUUCUCUUGCUUCUGUUCUCCUGCCCCGCACUUCCCAAAGUGUGCGGGAACAGUGUGACCUAAACAAGAACAUAGUGUCACUAUAGGAUGAGUGACACUUGGAAGCAGAGGCAGAGUGCUACAUGGACACCUGACUGUACCAAAUGGUUAUUGUGGUUUCCCAAUCAGAUGCCAAUUGUGGAAUACCAGCUAAUAUUCUACCCUCAAUUCAUGCUAAAAGCUUUCCAGUCUUUCUCAAGGACACCUGUCCAAAGGGAUAUGUGAGCCAAGGAAUUGUUACUGUAUAAGUAAAACUUGGAUGUUUUUACUAAUAGUCCACAUAUUUCACAGCCCUUUGGUGAAGAGCCUUUUUCAUUAAUGUUCUGUUCAAGAAUAAUUGCAUAGUAUUUAUAAUCCUCUCAGGGAUUAAGUAUAGAUGUAACAUACAACUCAAAAAUGCUUGUUGAUGUUCACUUUGUAAAAAUUCAUCAAGUUGUUUACUUGAUAUUCAUGCACUUUCUUUUUGUGUUAUAUAUUUUUUAAUUAAAUGCUUAUGGAAACUAUGAUUUUUUAAAAGUUAUUUUCUUUGACCAUUAGUUGAAGCCCACUAGCAAUAUACAAUGUUUGGAGCCAAAUGGUUGGGCAGGGCAAAACCAGGGGGAGCCUAUUCUAUGGUCCUCUGGUGGCCAUAGCACCUGAGAAACUGAUAUGUGGCUUCAGGAAAUCCACUCUGGGGCCACAGAAGAAAGAACAGUUGUACCAACCAAGGCCUGGCCUCGGGACUGGUACAGCCCAUGGUAGAAGGCAAGAUGUCUGACACAAUCCUGGCAUGUUCCUUAAACUCUUGGGAGGGCUGGUAACCACUGGACCAGAACAGAAGCUCCUGGAGUAAUCUGAGACUUGUGCUCAGCUCUUCCCUUCCUUGGCUUCUCUUGCUAAGAAGCUCAGACUGGCACUGCAAACCAUCAAUCUCUGGGGCGAAAUGGCAAGGUCAUCAGAUAUGUAUUUCUUAGGAUAAAAAUGCAGGAAGGUAAAACUUCAUCCAAAACAGAUAACAGUUUAAGAGAAAGAAAUGGGCUCCACCCCCAGAUUCUGGGAGCCCGGGGCUUAGGAGAUGGGCUGGGGAAAGGAUGGUGAUAGAGAAAAUGGGACUCCCAAGUGACUGUCUUGGUCCCUCACCACAGCUGAAUCCCAGCUUUGAUGCAGAGAGAUGGAGUCAAGUGCAUGUGACCGGGCUUUGACCCUUUUCAGAAUCUUGCACCCACAGGGCCAGGCUCAGAGAUUGUGCAAACUCAAUUUCAGGGAGUCUGAGAAAUCGAAGAGAGGUGUUGAGAGGCUGGGCUGUAAGUAAAGUAUGAGGUGAGGGGUUGAAGGAGGGAGUCCUGCUCUUGAGGAGCAGCCCUGAUGCACACUCCACUCACCUCCUCCAGGCAGAAGAAGAACAAGGUGUGCACGCGGGGAAGUUCGGAGGCCCGCUUCGUCUUUCUAGACUGCAGCUGCGCCAACAUGCUGGGGACACGAGGAUCACCAGUCCGAGUACCUCCCCACCCCUCCCUGAGCCAGCUAAGGAGAACAACUUCCCAGCUCCUUAUCCUCAUUCCCUCCUUUAUCACGCGCAGACUGGACUUCUCCGAUAUCCCCUAAUGUAAAGAAACAUCCGCGUGCUCCGCCGAUGCCCCAGGGCCACCGGAAGAGAGCCGUGGGGUGUGAGAACUAGGCUGUUUCCAGUGGCUGGUGGGCGCGGGGGAGCGACUACUGCGCCCUCCCCUUGGGCAUUCCUCUCCGGUCCCUGAGGCGACGCCCUAGUAAGCCUCCACGGACGUCAGCGAAGGGUGGGUGGAGGGUCACCCUGACCGCGCCCCACAGCUGGGCCCUGCGCUCUGCCCACCGCCACGCCACCUUCACCGCGCGAUGCCGGCACUCCCGCCUUUCUCUUGCCCUCGUUAUUUUUAGUUCGGCUGCUGCACCUCCCUGCUUGCAACAGCUCGCCCCGCUCUCAGACUCGUUUUGCAGGAUUUGUGCCCCCGGUGGCUAACCUGAUCCGCACUUGAAUAAACAGCGAGCGCCCGGGCAACCUGGGCGAGCCACCCGCGCGGAAUUUGCAUCCAUCCGCACCAGAGGUUCCCGAGACGCUAAGCGUUCUCGCCUACCAGAACUUGGAAACAAUGGACCAUCCCCGGAAUGAAUGAAUGAAAUUUUUAAAACGAAAGGGACAGGGGCAGCGGCAGAGCGGCUCCUGGGACAAUUUUGCCCGUGCUUCCUGACGUUCUCUCCGUGAAGCCCAAGGGGACGCCGGGGCAACAGGGUACAGGAGCCCGGAUGAUAGUGGCAGAAAAUUAAAUUUGGAUAGUACUUGUUAAGUUUGCUUUCCUAGCUAGCUGCCCCCUCCACUACCAUUUCUAUCUUAAGACAGGCUUUCCAGGUGGCAGAGGAUGGCUUUUCUCAUCAGUUAAGAAAAACAGCGUGCUCCCCCAAGGUCUGAGUUUGUGUGAUGGGCUGUUUCCACUUGCCAAGCCCUGCGGUGGUACCUGCAAGCUUAUGCGAUAGGAGGAAAGUGAGAUUUGUAAGGCCUGGAGGAGGUGUGAGGUUGCCAGAGGCCACUUCAGAUAGUCAGUUCCUGGUGGGUUAGUGAAUCAUUGCACAACCUUAAGGGCUCCAGCCUUCCUGCAAGCCAGUCAAACAAAAAGAAAACAUAACAAAGAGUUUUCUUUAUUCAGCAUAAAGGGAUGGCUGGCUAGCUUUUGAAGCUUUUUCCUCAGAAUUCUGAUUUUUAUUCUGAAAAUCUGAGUUUUGUUUCUUGUUCACCUCCAACAAGUUAGGAUGUCAACUAUGGAUAACAGGUAAACAUGCCUCCAAAUAUGCUGUGGCACUCUGUGACUUGACUAGUUCUACAGCUAGAACCCAAGGAGUUUGGAUGAUCUAGUUUUAUUUCCCCAGUUUUAGAAGAAAUUCAGGGAGAAAAAAUGGGGACAAAAACCAGGUGAUUAAGGGACUAAGAUUCUCAAGGGGUAAGUAAAAGUGAUUGUUGGCUUUGUUUGUUGUAUUUAAAUUAAAUGUUAAUCUCUUUAAACUAGAGAUUCUUAGGCCUGCCACUUGACUUCAUUAAGAAUCCCUGGCCGGGCGCGGUGGCUCAAGCCUGUAAUCCCAGCACUUUGGGAGGCCGAGACGGGCGGAUCACAAGGUCAGGAGAUCGAGACCAUCCUGGCUAACACGGUGAAACCCCGUCUCUACUAAAAAAUACAAAAAACUAGCCGGGCGAGGUGGCGGGUGCCUGUAGUCCCAGCUACUCGGGAGGCUGAGGCAGGAGAAUGGCGUAAACCCGGGAGGCGGAGCUUGCAGUGAGCUGAGAUCCGGCCACUGGACUCCAGCCUGGGUGACAGAGCCAGACUCUGUCUCAAAAAAAAAAAAAAAAAAAAGAAUCCCUGGAUGGAUUUUAGGGGAUCUGUGAAAACUCCGACAUUUAUGCAGAUAAUUUUUGAUGUAAACGUAAAAGUGCUUGGGGGUGCAUGACUUCAUCUAUGUUUCCAUGUGCUAAAUCUUUUCUAUUGGGAUAUGUCUCCAAGUUGCACUCAUAACAAACUUUCAUCCAGUGGUACCUAGUUUUCACACUCAACAACAAAACGUUCUUAACUCAUCACUGGACAACAGAAACUCCACUCUGUUAAGAGCCAACAGUCACAGGGGAAAGGACCCUGGCACAAUAGUGACCUGGAGCCUAAGUCCCUGCUCUGCCCCAUGUUAACUGUACCCACCGGUUACCCACUGAAGACUCUUGUGACUUAACGUGAGGAUCAAACGUUGGAGUGUACAUGAAACCAAUUUACAGAUCACAAAAUACAUGGCUAGUGGCAUUUAUGAAAUAAAUGCUGAUGGGUUUCCACAUGCUAGAAUUAUGAAAUUAUGAAAUUCCAAUUGUUCAUAAUUAAAUGAACAAUUAUGUGAAUAAUUAUAAUUAUGUGAAUAUGUGCAUAUUUUCUUCAACCAUAUACUUAUAAGGAAAAUCAACAUACUUUGGAUUCCUGACCAUUGUUAGUCAUAUUCAUGUUUCAUUAUCUCAUUUAAUCCUCAAAAAAGCUCCUUGUGGUUUAUAUACCACAGUUAUCAACACACAUCACCCCACCCCCAUCACCACCACCACCAACUUUCUUUUAGCAUUUGAGGAAAGAAGUGUAGAGAGGUUAAGUAAUUUGCCUAAGGCCACCCAGCUAACAAACACCAGGUUUCGAUUUCAGAUAAAGUUCCUGUUUACAAGAGGGGAAUAUUAGAAAAAGAGCAAAUUUUGUACAGCUUUAGGUAAAUUUAAUUCCUUGUGCAUUUUGUGCAAAAGUACAGGAGUUUUAAAUAGAGCAGCCACAAUUAAGAUGGUCAGUCUUCUCAUAUACUCUUUGCUGGAAAACUGUCCUUAACCUAUUUAUUUCCCCC